GACGAACCGAGCGAACGUUGUUCGGAAUCACUGGGCUUAAAGAGCUCGUAGGCGGUGUGUCGCGUCGGCCGUGAAAACCUGUGGCUUAACUAUGGGCUUGCGGUCGAUACGGGCAUCACUGGAGUUCGGCAGGGGAGACUGGAAUUCCUGGUGUAGCGGUGAAAUGCGCAGAUAUCAGGAGGAACACCGGUGGCGAAGGCGGGUCUCUGGGCCGAUACUGACGCUGAGGAGCGAAAGCGUGGGGAGCGAACAGG
rnacentral:rRNA from 1 species